AGAGUUUGAUCCUGGCUCAGGAUGAACGCUGGCGGCGUGCUUAACACAUGCAAGUCGAACGAAGCGCGCGGAAGGAAGGCCUUCGGGCCGGAGAGCCGCGGGACUGAGUGGCGGACGGGUGAGUAACGCGUGGGCAACCUGCCCCGUACAGGGGGAUAACAGCCGGAAACGGCUGCUAAUACCGCAUAAGCGCACAGCGCCGCAUGGCGCGGUGUGAAAAGCUCCGGCGGUACGGGAGGGGCCCGCGUCUGAUUAGGCAGUUGGCGGGGCAGCGGCCCACCAAACCGACGAUCAGUAGCCGGCCUGAGAGGGCGGCCGGCCACAUUGGGACUGAGACACGGCCCAAACUCCUGCGGGAGGCAGCAGUGGGGAAUAUUGCACAAUGGGGGAAACCCUGAUGCAGCGACGCCGCGUGAGCGAAGAAGUAUUUCGGUAUGUAAAGCUCUAUCAGCAGGGAAGAAAAAAAUGACGGUACCUGAGUAAGAAGCACCGGCUAAAUACGUG
rnacentral:rRNA from 1 species